rnacentral:rRNA from 1 species
UACGUAGGUGGCAAGCGUUGUCCGGAUUUACUGGGCGUAAAGAGCGCGCAGGCGGUCGUUCAAGUCGCGUGUGAAAGCCCCCGGCUCAACUGGGGAGGGUCACGCGAUACUGAUCGACUCGAAGGCAGGAGAGGGUAGUGGAAUUCCCGGUGUAGUGGUGAAAUACGUAGAUAUCUGGAGGAAUACCGGUGGCGAAGGCGGCAUCCUGGACCGACAUUGACGCUGAACGGCGAAAGCUAGGGGAGCAAACGGG